rnacentral:rRNA from 1 species
AUGCACGCUGGCGGCGUGCCUCAUACCUGCCAGUCGAGCGAACAGACGAGGAGCUUGCUCCUUCGACGUUAGCGGCGGACGGGUGAGUAACACGUAGGUAACCUACCUAUAAGACUGGGAUAACUUCGGGAAACCGGAGCUAAUACCGGAUAAUAUUUCGAACCGCAUGGUUCGAUAGUGAAAGAUGGCUUUGCUAUCACUUAUAGAUGGACCUGCGCCGUAUUAGCUAGUUGGUAAGGUAACGGCUUACCAAGGCAACGAUACGUAGCCGACCUGAGAGGGUGAUCGGCCACACUGGAACUGAGACACGGUCCAGACUCCUACGGGAGGCAGCAGUAGGGAAUCUUCCGCAAUGGGCGAAAGCCUGACGGAGCAACGCCGCGUGAGUGAUGAAGGUCUUCGGAUCGUAAAACUCUGUUAUUAGGGAAGAACAAACGUGUAAGUAACUGUGCACGUCUUGACGGUACCUAAUCAGAAAGCCACGGCUAACUACGUG